rnacentral:tRNA from 1 species
GCGAAUGUAGUUCAAUGGUAGAACAUCAGCUUCCCAAGCUGAGAAUGCGGGUUCGAUUCCCGUCAUUCGCU